UCAGCAGUGAGUAGGAUUAAUGAGCUCAUGUGAUUAAAUCACGUGCAGAACAUGUUGAAGAACUUAUAACCAAACUAUGGAAAACGUCAUCUCCCUUCUCUCUUAGUUCUCCAUCCGUUGUGUCGGAGGUCCUCUCCGGCGGCGGAGGCGCCUCAAAAAUCAAUUAAAGAACUCACCUAACCUAAUUCCAUAUGCUGAAUCUAGAAAUGUUAAAUAGUUAAGGAAGAACCCUAACUAUUCAAAGUUAAAUUAAGUGGCGCACACUCACAUAUUCAGGCUCAAACAUUGGGGCUAAUGAUGCCAAGAACGUUAUCUACAUAAUAGUAGCAAUAUCAUGGAAAGCAGAAGAGAAAGAAUAUUUACCUCCAAAAUGGAAAUUUUUUCUGGCGAAGGUUGAAUCGGAGAAGACGGAGGCGCAACGGAAAAUCACUUAAAAAUAGGUCAUGGAUAAUUUACAGCAUGGCAAUGUUUGUAGCAGUGGACAUGGUGAAUCAGUUUGCAACAAGGCCAUAUGGAAUAUAGGGUAAUUUGGUGGUUCAAAGCAAUAGUUCUGGUUUUUUGUAGCAUGUUGGAUUGGAUUGAAUUUUGGGCUUGGGAUUGGAUUGUGUAAGGCUUGUUUACUUGGUUUGUAAGGUUGAAUGUAAUUAGUGUAAUGAACAUUAUUGAAUGAUAAGUAUUGAAUUGGAU